rnacentral:miRNA from 1 species
AAUGUUGUCUGGCUCGAG